AAAAAAAUUUUUUUUUCCCCCCCCCAGGGGGGAAUUUGACCGAGCAACGCCGCGUGAAUGACGAAGUACUUCGGUAUGUAAAGUUCUUUUAUCAAGGAAGAAAAGCAAAUGGCGAACCAUUUGUUUGCCGGUACUUGAUGAAUAAGCCCCGGCUAAUUAUGUGCCAGCAGCCGCGGUAAGACAUAAGGGGCAAGUGUUAUCCGGAAUUAUUGGGCGUAAAGGGUGCGUAGGCGGUCUAGUAAGUCAGUGGUGUAAUGGCAACGCUUAACGUUGUCCGGCUAUUGAAACUGCUAAACUUGAGUUAGAUAGAGGCGAGUGGAAUUCCAUGUGUAGCGGUAAAAUGCGUAAAUAUAUGGAGGAACACCAGAGGCGUAGGCGGCUCGCUGGGUCUUAACUGACGCUGAGGCACGAAAGCGUGGGGAGCAAACAGGAUUAGAUACCCUGGUAGUCCACGCCGUAAACGAUGAGUACUAAGUGUCGGGUUAAACCGGUACUGAAGUUAACACAUUAAGUACUCCGCCUGAGUAGUACGUACGCAAGUAUGAAACUUAAAGGAAUUGACGGGACUCCGCACAAGCGGUGGAUCAUGUUGUUUAAUUCGAAGAUACCCGAAAAACCUUACCAGGUCUUGACAUGUUUUUGCAAAAUGAUAGUAAUAUCGUGGAGGUUACCAGAAACACAGGUGGUGCAUGGUUGUCGUCAGCUCGUGUCGUGAGAUGUUAGGUUAAGUCCUAAAACGAGCGAAACCCUUAUCGUUAGUUGCCAGCACGUUAUGGUGGGGACUUUAACGAGACUGCCAAUGAUAAAUUGGAGGAAGGUGAGGAUCACGUCAAAUCAGCAUGCCCCUUAUG
rnacentral:rRNA from 1 species